AGUUCUUCGAAAGCGAGGUCGGGCCGCUCCCUGGCCGUCCGGUACUGGAGGCCAGACUGCGCAUGCGUUUCAGUGGCGUUAGCGGCAGACCGGUCUGGCAGUUCCUUCCUCGGAAGGAGAGAUUCCUCUGCCAUGGAGUCCUACGAUGUGAUCGCCAACCAGCCUGUCGUGAUCGACAACGGAUCCGGUGUGAUUAAAGCUGGCUUUGCUGGUGAUCAAAUCCCCAAGUACUGUUUUCCAAACUAUGUGGGCAGACCCAAGCACGUUCGUGUCAUGGCAGGCGCCCUCGAAGGUGACAUCUUCAUUGGCCCCAAAGCUGAGGAGCACCGAGGGCUGCUCUCCAUCCGCUACCCCAUGGAGCACGGCAUUGUCAAGGACUGGAACGACAUGGAGCGCAUCUGGCAGUACGUCUAUUCCAAGGACCAGCUGCAGACUUUCUCAGAGGAGCAUCCUGUGCUCCUGACGGAGGCACCUCUAAACCCACGGAAAAACCGAGAACGAGCUGCUGAAGUUUUCUUCGAGACCUUCAAUGUGCCAGCCCUUUUCAUCUCCAUGCAAGCUGUGCUCAGCCUUUAUGCCACUGGCAGGACCACGGGUGUGGUGCUGGAUUCUGGGGAUGGCGUCACCCACGCCGUGCCCAUUUACGAGGGCUUCGCCAUGCCCCACUCAAUCAUGCGCAUCGACAUCGCCGGCCGCGACGUCUCUCGCUUCCUUCGCCUUUACCUGCGCAAGGAGGGCUAUGAUUUCCACUCAUCCUCCGAGUUUGAGAUUGUCAAGGCCAUAAAAGAAAGAGCCUGCUACCUAUCCAUAAACCCCCAGAAGGAUGAGACACUCGAGACGGAGAAAGCUCAGUAUUACCUGCCUGACGGCAGCACCAUUGAGAUUGGUCCUUCCCGAUUCCGGGCCCCUGAGCUGCUGUUCAGGCCAGACCUGAUCGGCGAGGAGAGCGAGGGCAUCCACGAGGUGCUGGUGUUCGCCAUCCAGAAGUCUGACAUGGACCUGCGGCGCACGCUCUUCUCUAACAUCGUCCUCUCGGGAGGCUCCACCCUGUUCAAAGGUUUUGGUGACAGGCUACUGAGUGAAGUGAAGAAACUGGCUCCAAAAGACGUGAAGAUCAGGGUAGGAGCCUGCUGGGGGCAGGGGUGGGGCGGCGGCUGCUGUGGAACCGGGCCUCCAAGGGUCUGGAGCGCCACCUGGUAUGGCCUCCCCUCUUGCUCCAAGCCUUUCAGACACCGCCAGGUGGCUCCCAGCUUCCACACUGUCCCUGAGGCCUGCCAGAGGGGAGGCCCCCCCCUCACUCACCCUCUUCACAAAGGGGGAAGGGGGCUAGGCUGAGGGCCCCACAUGUGGUCUUUCAGGGAAACUGUAACACUGACAGGAGACUGACUUUGGCCGCUCCCCUGUGACACAGCUCAGCAUCGUAGAGACUGCUGAGCAGAGCCCGGCCUGCCUGAAGAAGGAGGGGUCCUGGAUGGAGGAGGGCAGUUCCUGCCGUGGAGUCUGCUCCCCUCCAGCCCCCGGCAGACCCCGAUCUUGCCCCCAGGUGGCCCCAGCUUCCCUGGGAACUAUAGAUACCUAGGGCUGCCAGAAACCUACUUCUCCACAUGAGCAUCUGGCUGGCUGCAAUCCCCCCCAGAGAGUCCACAGGGUCCAGCCAGCCCUGAAAUGCAGCCGCUGCCUUCGGUGGUGAGAACUGGCCACAGAGCUGUGUGUUGGAAGGGAAGGGAGGGGGCGGGUGGACGUCUCAGAUGCCUCUUGCCACCCACCUUGCAGAUAUCGGCACCGCAGGAGAGACUGUAUUCCACGUGGAUCGGGGGCUCCAUCCUUGCCUCUCUGGACACCUUUAAGAAAAUGUGGGUCUCUAAGAAGGAAUACGAGGAAGAUGGUGCCCGAUCCAUCCAUAGGAAAACCUUCUAAUAUUGGGACAUCAUCUUCACCUCUCUCUGAAGUUAACUCCACUUUAAAACUCGCUUUCUUGAGUCGAGGAACUGCCUGUGUGUAUGAGUGUGUGUGUGUGGGUGUGUGGGUACGAGUGUGUGCGCAUACAAGAGUGCCGUGUGGCCCGGGGAUCCCAGGGAUCCCGGGGCCCAGAAAGGACGAUGAACUACCCACGAUGGUGACGGCCUGAGACCUGGGGUUGACCACUAACUGGCCCCUGACAGGGAAGAGUGGCUGCCAGAGGGCCCCACUCCGUCAGCUGGGCCUUUGUCUGGCUGUGUAGGGCUGUGUUGACUACCAUGGGGAGACAGAGGGAGGUAAGCCCAACCCCUGGGAGACCUUGCUGCUGCCCAUCCUAGGCUGGGCCAGUCCCACCCCCACCCCACCCAGGGUGCCCUGCAGCCCGAGGCAGCUGCUGCCUCCCCUUGCUCAUCAUUCUGCUCUCAAUGCCUCUGGAUCAUGGAUGGAGGCCUGGGGCCAGGGUUGAGUUCUGUCUGGUUUUGUUGCAGUUUGGGUUUAGAAGGCUGGAGAAGCACUCCAGCAGUUAUUACUGAGACUUUGGGGUCAGAAGGGGGCAGGAUGCCCUCAACUUCACCUGGGGACCAGGACCACACUGGGCAUUUGAGGUGGGCAGGAGUAGUGCUGCUUCUGCUGGUGGCAAAGUUGUUGCUCCAACUCCAAGCCCACUUCCAGUGGGUCUCGGGAGAGUUUCAGGAGCCUGUUGGCCCCAGGCCCUGUCACUUGCUUUCCAUCCAUCCUUGGGCAGUGCCAUCUUCAGUUUUAUUUAUUGAAGUGUUUGUUCAGUACAGGGCCUGGGGAGAGGGGGCUCAUUGCCUCCCACCCACCAGGCACCCUGUUCACACUAAUGUUUACAGCACCUAAGCUUAGCACAGUGUCCAGGGCCCCGCCACUCCCUGCUCACGGUGAACUGACAGUAUCCAUAGGCCUCAGGACCACAUGGGGUCAGAGACUACACUCAAAGUCACUCCAGCCUCUUUCUUUCUCCCUCUUCCACUUGCUCACUGCCCUGGAAUCAACAGACUGGUUGCUGGUUGGAUUUUCUGAAGCAAGAGCUAGAAUCACCCUUUAGCAGAGGCUCCGACCCAAGGAAAGGUGUUGGGGAUCCAGCCUCCUUAGGAAUGGAGAAAGAGCUGCAAUUAACCAAGUGGCCUUUUCCCACUCUAGCUGACCCGGUGGGGGGGGACUAGGUUGCAGAGGUGAGCAGGCUCCCCCCCAAGGCCGAUUUAUGCCAUUCUUGUCUUUGGACUUGCUUGCUUAGGGAGGGAGGGGUCAGACCAGAGGGCCAGGAGCUGAUGGGAUCAGGCUCACCUCCUCUGGUCCAGUAGGACCAGGUGCCUUCACUGGACUAGGCUGGCCUGGCAGUGGUCCCAAGGCCCUUCAGCUCGGCUGGUACAAAGCUGAGGCCAGCAGAUCUUCCCCGGCACCCUCACCUGUGACACUAAGACCUGCCCUGAUCCCAGAUUCCAGGCAGUAUUCUCCCCCAUGCCGUCCAACGACCAAAGGCCCUGCCAGGUGUGGGCCGCAGCAGCAGGUGUGUGUGAAAGCGAUGUGGCGACCCGCGGACUGCAGUGUGCUUAACCAGCUCACCUCCCUCCUCUUAGCCCAAGCCUGUCCCUCGCACAGCCUCGCACAAACCACGUUGCCUGGUGGGGCCCAGUGUACUUAAAUAAAGUUGUUCCAAUAGACA